rnacentral:rRNA from 1 species
UACGUAGGGUGCGAGCGUUGCCCGGAUUUAUUGGGCGUAAAGGGCGCGUAGGCGGCUCGGCACGUCCGUUGUGAAAUCGCCCGGCUCAACUGGGCGGGUCAGCGGAUACGGUCGAGCUUGAGCAAGCUAGGGGGCAAUGGAAUUCCCGGUGUAGUGGUGAAAUGCGUAGAUAUCGGGAGGAACACCAGUGGCGAAGGCGGCUUCCCUGGCCUGUUCUUGACGCUGAGGCGCGAAAGCUAGGGGA